GGCCGCGGGAAUUCGAUUAGAGUUUGAUCAUGGCUCAGGAUGAACGCUGGCGGUAUGCCUAACACAUGCAAGUCGUACGAGAGUUUUUAACUCUAGUGGCGGACGGGUGAGUAACACGUGAGAAUCUGCCUUUAGGAGGGGGAUAACAAUUGGAAACGAAUGCUAAUACCCCAUAUGCUUUCGAGUGAAAUGAAUUUUUUAUUUGCCUAAAGAGAAGCUCGCGGCUGAUUAGCUUGUUGGUAAGGUAAGAGCUUACCAAGGCGACGAUCAGUAUCUGGUUUGAGAGGACGAUCAGACACACUGGAACUGAGACACGGUCCAGACUCCUACGGGAGGCAGCAGUGGGGAAUUUUCCGCAAUGGGCGAAAGCCUGACGGAGCAAUACCGCGUGAGGGAAGAAUGCCUAUGGGUUGUAAACCUCUUUUUUCAGGGAGGAAUAAAUGACGUGUACCUGAAGAAUAAGCAUCGGCUAACUCCGUGCCAGCAGCCGCGGUAAGACGGAGGAUGCAAGUGUUAUCCGGAAUCACUGGGCGUAAAGCG
rnacentral:rRNA from 1 species